GGGAUGUUACUGGCUGGUUUUACAAUUAGGAAUGUUCCAUUCAUCAAUGAACAUGUCCAUGUUCCUAACGCAUGGUCUUCAAUUUUAAGAAGCAUUGCCCUUAACAUUAUUCUAAUACGAGCUGGGCUUGGACUCGAUCCACAGGCUUUGAGGCAUUUGAAGGUGGUUUGUUUCAGAUUGGCUAUAGGUCCAUGCCUUAUGGAGGCAAGUGCAGCUGCUGUUUUAUCCCACUUCAUUAUGAAAUUUUCCUGGCAAUGGGCAAUUCUAUUAGGUUUUGUUCUAGGUGCUGUCUCUCCUGCUGUUGUUGUUCUUUACACGAUGGUGUUGCAAGAAAAUGGAUAUGGUGUUGAGGAAGACAUUCCAACCUUACUAAUGGCUGCUAGCAGUAUGGAUGACAUUCUGGCUCUCACUGGAUUCAAUACAUGCUUGAGCAUAGUCUUCUCCUCGGGUGGUAUGCUUAAUAACGCCAUAGCCUCUAUAGGGAACGUAUGUAUUAGUCUGCUGGCAGUAAUUGUUUUGGGACUUUUUGUUCGAUAUUUUCCAAGUGAAGACCAGAAAAAACUUACAUUGAAGAGAGGAUUCCUUGUUUUGACUACGUGUGUUUCUGCUGUCUUAGGCAGCCAACAUAUUGGUUUACAUGGAUCUGGAGGAUUAUGCACACUAGUGUUGAGUUUCAUUGCAGGGACAAAAUGGUCCCAAGAAAAGAUGAAAGUCCGAAAGAUUAUUACAAAUGUAUGGGAUAUUUUUCAACCACUUCUUUUUGGUUUAGUUGGAGCAGAAGUAUCUGUUUCACUGCUUGAAUCAAAUAUUGUUGGCAUAUCUGUUGCCACUCUGAGUUUGGCAUUAUGUGUUCGAAUUUUAACCACAUAUCUAUUGAUGUGCUUUGCUGGUUUUAGUUUUAAGGAGAAAAUAUUUAUUGCUUUAGCAUGGAUGCCCAAAUAUGUACAGACUGUGUUAGGUCCUCUGGCUCUAGAAACAGCAAGAGUCUCCACACCCCACUUGGAACCAUAUGCGAAGGAUGAGAUGACAGUAGCAUUUUUAGCCAUCUCGAUCGCAGCUCCAAAUGGAGCUCUACUUAUGGGCAUUCUGGGGCCUAAAAUGCUUACACACCAUUAUGAUCCAAGUAAAAUAAAACUGCAAUUGUCAACAUUAGAACAUCAUUAAAAAGUUUACCUGUCAUCAUC
rnacentral:lncRNA from 1 species